CUCCCUAGAUCACUGCAGCCCAAAGGCUUGGGCCUCCAAUAAUGUAUCAAAAAUAAAAGUAUCUAUGUGAACGUACCUAUGGAUGUGAAGGUGAGGUUGAAUUCUUGCUGGCCUGGUGAUGAAAAAGGGUAUUGCCAUUGGUGCUGAUUUGGCAGUGCAGACAUCUGUGUGGGAGGCAGGAUGGACCAGCCCCUUCCUGGGCUGUUUCCCAUUGGAGAGAUUAAAUAGGUGGUGAGAAGGGGACACGAAAUAUCAUCACAGAAACCUUGAAGGCCAGUAUACCCAGGACAAAUCACACCUUAGAUUCAGAGUUGCACUUAGUCACUGUUGGAAAAUUAGCUACUUUUUUUGCUCACUAGCCCACACGUUUGUGACAGACUAGUUCAGCAUCCUUUUGAGGAAAGUCUGAUGGUGGCUAUCACUGCCUUCAAGGGGUAUUGAAGGGCUGAGGUCACACAGGGAAUUUCCAUGCUUUGGCAGUGGAAGUUAUGCCUUUUGUCCUAAUUGUGGCAAUUGUAAAUGAUUUCUCUGGUAAAUCACAGCAAUGACUAUGUGGGAAAGGUUGUAUGCUCAGUUAAAAUGUUGGCAGAAGAGCAAAAUUUGUUUGCUGUUAAGCCCAGUGAUAUCUAGAUUCAUAAGAAACAAGAAAUAAUGGUGUAGGCUUUAUGCAGGGCAAUCCUGCAGCUCUUGAGCUGGGACUCUCCCUGCCUAACAUGUUUCCCAAGAGCAGGAUACCCAGCUGAAGCCAUUCAUCUCAAUUCUCUCUGUGACUCCAGAGUGUUCAGCACCUCACUUAUCUGACAUACCAUCAGCAGAGAUGAACAACAGUUGCUUCAUUGCCAUCUGCUUGACUGACUGCUGUUUCCAAAAAUGAUGAUCAGUGCUACUAGAAUUCCUUCCCCUGGUCUGCUCCCCCAAAUGUUCCUGCCUCCCCACACCAAGAUAUCUGCCUUCUCAGAGUGCAGCUAUCCCUGUGAAACUGUAUGCUGAAAGGACUUCCUAUGAACUGUACAAGGAAGAAUAAUGUGCUCACCAGUUACAUAGCUGGUAAUUUAUCCACUGGAAGGGAGAGGUCUCCAGGAGCCAAAGAAAUCAGCUCCACAGACACCUGACCUAGGGACUAUUGCAGGACUGUCUCCAGGUAAGCUCUCUAUAUCCUACACUAGGAGCUAACUGUACCCUGAUAUACCUACAAAGACUGGCUUCUCAGUAAGGCUGCAAUACUUCAUCAGCCAGAGGACCCAACAAAUGUUCUUCAUUUGUACUUACAGUUGGAUCACUGGAUCUUCACUUGUACUAUAUUUAAGCCACUAGCUGCUAUAGAACCAAAAAAGGCAUUGUUGAAUUGUAUUAGUUCAAGAGUGGAGGAGAUGGGGCUAAGGGAAGGUAAGUAAUUUGCAGGCAGUGAAAAUGGGACAGUUGAAGAAGGUGAGGAUGUGGGUCCCCAGUCAGUUGUGUUAAACUUAAUACCAUAGCUCUAGCUCCAAUUUCUACAGAAUCUUCACACCAUGCUAAAUUGAUAUUGCACACAAAAUAUGCUCCUGUGGUGACAAAUUGCUCUUUCUUGUAAGGAUCUCUGACUAGUGCAGAGGUUCUCAGUCCUGAUGAGAAAACAGAGCAAGAAGGGGCUCUGGAAAGUUUAGAAACUGCACAUGGAUGUACCUCUU
rnacentral:lncRNA from 1 species